rnacentral:rRNA from 1 species
AUGAAUACAAGAAUGGUAAGUAGGCCCCAGCUCUUGGUGUCCGAUCAGCAAACCACGAGCGCCAUGUGGAAUUUACAGCUCACCCAUCUGCACAAGAUUAUUUCUCGUCAUAUUAUUCCUGAAGAUUAUGAACAUUAUCUCGUCCGAUCUCUCCCCACCCCAGAGAGGGUCCGGAGGCACGCAUCACACAUCGGGCGACCUGUACUUGUACACGUGGAAGCUCGCCUGCGGCGCCACAGCGGCCAGGAAGACCCUGGCCGUCGCCUCCUGCGCCGCCACCGCCCCAUCCUUCUCCACCAGCGCCGCCGCCACCACAUCGCCGGCGGAGCCGCCGGAGGCGGCAAUCAUCGCAAUGAUGGCCGUCUGCACGGGGCCCAGCGUCGGGUUGUACGCCGCGGACUCCAGGCAGCCCCCGGCGUACACCUUCCCCUCGCCGUCCGCCACCGCGAACCCCGACGGGCACCCGCUGUAUGGCGCGUGCGCCGCGCGCGCCGCCGCCUCCGCGGCAUCCUUCAGGCGCCCCUCCAGGUCGCCGGCGGCGAAGCCAUUGGCGACGGCGUCAACGGGAUCGCCGAGGCGGUUGUCGUGCGGCUCGAGGACGAGGGGGGCGUCCUUGGGGAGGAGGUCAUGGGGGCCGAAGGGGCGGGGCAGGAGCGACGCCAGCGAGCGCCACUCGGCCGCGCAGCCGUCGGCGGCGUCGGAGGUCACCAGGAUGCGGAUCCCGGCGGCGCCGCGGAUCUCCUGGAGGAACUGCCGGCAGUGGCCGCAAGGCAUGUGGGAGACGGCGAUGGCGCGCAGCGCGGGCUCCCCGGCGGCAGCGGCGUUGGCGAUGAGGAACUGCUCGGCGUGGACCACCUGGGAGAGAGGGGCGCCCAGGAACUCGAGGUUCACGCCGGCGUACACGCGCCCGCUCUCGCCCAGCCCGACGGCGCCCACGGGGAACCGCGAGAUCGGGGGGCGCGCGCGCCGCAUCGCGGAAGGGAUCAGCAGGGGCAGCAGGUCCUCCACCGUCUCCACCCCGGCCGCCGCGGCCGCGCGCUCCGCCUCGUCAGCGCUCAUCACAAAUCCUGGCAGCUCGACGGCCUCAGGCUUCGCCGUCAUCCUCUCCUCCCCCAUUGCUCAGAUCUAACGCGAAACUGUGUUGUCACUCUAUGA